AGUUGAUCCUGGCUCAGGAUGAACGCUAGCUACAGGCUUAACACAUGCAAGUCGAGGGGCAGCAUGAUCGAAGCUUGCUUGAUUGAUGGCGACCGGCGCACGGGUGAGUAACGCGUAUCCAACCUUCCCUGUAGUAGAGAAUAGCCCGGCGAAAGUCGGAUUAAUGCUCUAUGUUGUAUUUCGAAGACAUCUAGAAGAAUAACCAAAGGUUUACCGCUAUAGGAGUGGGGAUGCGUCUGAUUAGGUUGUUGGCGGGUAACGGCCCACCAAGCCUACGAUCAGUAGGGGUUCUGAGAGGAAGGUCCCCCACAUUGGAACUGAGACACGGUCCAAACUCCUACGGGAGGCAGCAGUGAGGAAUAUUGGUCAAUGGACGGAAGUCUGAACCAGCCAAGUAAGCGUGCAGGAUGACGGCCCUAUGGGUUGUAACUGCUUUAUAUAGGGAUAAAGUCGGGACGUGUCCCCGUUUGUUAGGUACUAUAUGAAUAAGGACCGGCUAAUUCCGUGCCAGCCGCAGC
rnacentral:rRNA from 1 species